ACUGUGCUAAGGUAGCAUAAUCAUUUGUUAUUUAAUUAAUAACUGGAAUAAAAGGAUCUACAUAAAUUCUGCUUUCUUCUUUUAUUACAAAAAAUUUAUUUUUAAGUAAAAAAGCUUACUUAAAUUAGAAAGACGACAAGACCCUAGAAUCUUAUUUCUUAAUUUUACUGGGAAGGUAAAUUUUAACUCAAAAUAUAAAAAAACAUAUUAAAUGAUUUAUUAUCAAACUUUACUUAAAAAUAAAAAAGAUACUCUAGGGAUAACAGCAAAAUUUUUUUUUAGAGCCCUUAUCGACAAAAAAGAUUUUGACCUCGAUGUUGAAUUAUUAUUCCUUUCUAAAGCAAGAUUUUUUUAAGGUGGUCUGUUCGACCAAUAACCUAAUACGUGAUCUGAG
rnacentral:rRNA from 1 species